UAGCCCAUUAAACAUCUUACAAGAGGAUUUUCAACUGAGAUAGAAAUAGGACAUGUCCCUUUUAGGACGGUAAGCCGGUAAGGAAAAGAGUCGGAAAUGGGUUCCGGAUUCUUUAAUUACGCAUUACAUAAGCGGAGAGGAAAUUGAAGAUAAGGUACAUAGUGAUUUAUGGGGGAUGCACGAAGUAGGUGUGCAAUGAAAAGACAACGACCACGGUUUGACUAUAUAUAAAGAAACAAUAAUCAAAUCAAUUUAUAUGAUCACGUUCUUUUUAGGACCAUUUUUAGGUUAGAGAGAGAAGUGAGCUCAGAUUUCGGAUUAACGAUUCAUGUAAUUUUCUCUACUAUACAAACAGUUGAUAUCAAUUUCUAGAUUUUAAAUCAUUCAUUUAUAGGAUUGAAGGUACGUACAUAAAAAGAUAAACAGGUUGUGAUUUGUAGGGAUCCACGAAUUAGGUGUAACCUAUGUUUAAAAAUUUGCUAGGCGCUAAUCGAGUGGCCGACAUGGGUGAUGUUUAUAUGUCAAGAGAAAAGAGGAAGUUCUAGAGAAGAAAUAUAUAGAUCAUUAAAACGUCAAGUAAAGUGAAGAUUCAAGAUGAACAACCGAUCGACAUAUACUUGUAACUGAUCAAUAGUAAAGACGCCAAGAACCGAUCAGUACAAAUCUGUAUCUCAUCGGUACAAACCUGUAACCGACCGGUGCUCACAUAAAUGAUGUUUCCAUUAUCCGAAUUUAGGAUUUUCCUCUUGUACUAUUUGUUAAAGCAUACAUGACAAGCCCAUGUAUUUUCUAUCUACUAGCCCAUCUAAAACCCAUGUAUUUAGGUUUCUAACAAGUAGACUCAUUAUAUAUAUAUAGUAGAUUCUCUCUCUUAACGCUAUCUUCAUCCUUCAGAGAGAGAAGGUGAUUUCCGGUCUACCGGAAAUUUCUUUUGUGUCUUAUAAAUAGUUUUCCGAUCUAUUCGGAUUUCUCUUUCUUCUUAGUCAGUUUAAUUUCGUCUUAGUUUAUUUCGCUUGUUGACUAAGAUAGAACUAUAUUUCUUUUGUUCUACCCUCUCUUUCUACAGAAAAUUAAUCUCUAUGCCGUUUGCUCUUGAUUGGAUUAGCCAUCAACUUGAUUCUUCUCUCAAGUUAGAGUAAUAUCUUCGCUACUAAAUCUUCGUCGUUUGUGAUCGAAGUGGACCUCAUCUUUAGGUCUUAGGCGGAGCUUCUUCUUGGAGUAUGGAUUGAGUUGUAUAAAUUCCCUAGGUAACUCCAAUUUUAAAGACAGCGGUUAUAACUGUAGAAGGAUGGUUCAAAGAGUAUGAUUUCAAGCUUCCACCUCUAAGUUAACGUCUUCAUCUGGUUUGCCAGCACAAAGAAGCGGUUAUAAGCAAUCAAUUUCUAUCAAGAUCGGCACCGGAGUAAAGAACGGUGGUGAGCAAUCAAUGGUGUUCCAUUGGUUUUCUCGCAACAUCUGACGUGUGGACCCUACUAUGUGUUGUAUCUAACACGUGUCUUAUGUAUUUGGGUUCAUUUGGGCUUAAAAGGCUUGUAUCUACUCUUGUAUCUUGCUCAUUAUGAGCUUUCGUUUAUAAAACGAGUUGCCGACAAAAAAAAAAA